AAAACAGUAGGAAUAAUCAACCAGUUGGGAAAACUAAGUAGGCAGCAGUUCUGUACAACAGUAACUCAGGCUUUGAGUGGUCACAGGCUGGUGUGAGUCAACCAUGGCUUGUUAUUGCAAAGAAAAAAAGAUAAGCGACCUGCUGGGAUGAAUUACGAGGAUUAGAGUCUGAAAGACUUGGCAAGGAAUUCUGCUUUGCUUAGCAGUUGUAAAGCUAGUUUCAGAUGUUACACAUGAAGAAGGAUGUGGACCACCUGCAGAGUAAACAGAAUGUGAAGGGGUCUAAGGGAAACAGUGAAUUAUUUCAGAUUGUUUAAUUAGGAAAGAAUGACAAGAAUGACAACAUAAACAGUCCACAAACGUGUGAGAAGUUACUGAUAAGAUGGGAAUAACCUGUUUUCUACGCCCACCAGGGGCAGAAAUUACAACCAGAAUAUUUUAGGUUAAACAUUAGGACAAACAUUUUUCAAGGCUAGAGGUACUGGAAAAAAGAUUGCCAGUGGUGUGGUCAGGGUCUGUCAAGAACAGGCUAUGGGGUCUUUAAGAACUGGCUAUGUACAUAUCGUCCAUAAACAGAUAUUUUAUAGGUGUAGUGGAACUGUCUAUCAGUAUGACCAUCUAAGGACCCUUCUGAGCCCUAUGUUUCUAUUGUUGUUAAUGUCAUAAGAUUGUAGAGUGGUUUGGGUUGGAGGGGGACCAUUAAAGCUCAUCUAGUCCAACCCCCCUGCCAUGGGCAGGGACACCUUCCACUAGACCAGGUUGCUCAAAGCCCCAUCAAACCUGACCUUCAACACUUCCAAUGACAGAACAUCCACAUCUUUUCUGGGUGCACCCAAAAUUCUAUUAUGGUUUGUACUGCUGGAGCAAUAACAGAAAUCAAGGAAUUAGAAUUCUGUGAAGGGAGAAGUAAUUGAUGGUGAUAUGAUGUAGAAGCACAUGCCUGAAAUGAGUUAAGUACCUAGACAUUCAAUUUAUUAACAGUAUUACCAAAUAUUAUUUCUUUGAAGAUGUUACUGGAGGCUGUGUGAAACAAAAUUAUCGCAUAUGCUUAUUGACAAUCCUAAUGAGAACAACUUACAUAAUCAUGUUCUUGAUGGGAAACUUCUUGUGCAAAGAACUGCUGGCUUGUGAGGUUGAUGCAGAGCACUGCUCUCUCAAGCAAAAGACUGAAGUGCCCACCUCACCGGAGAAGCAAAAAACUAAAUAAACUGCUUAAGCAUUAGCUGUCUAGUACCAUUUUAGUUGCUACAUGGUAUAUCUCUCCUGUCCUCCAGCUGUUUCAGAAAGCUGCAGACCCACCAUUAGUCUUGCAGCGUAUCUGCCAGACCUCUGCAGAUAGCUUUGAUACCCAAGGGUGUGUCAAGUGGCACUAGAUGAUGCAGAUGAAUUCUGUGAGUGGCAGCUGAAAGGUCACCCAAGGGGCUCCAGCUGACACUCCAUCAGCUCAUCCAUUAUACUCUGGAUACAGUCUGCAUUGUGACAGAGACAGACCAUUAAAAUGCUAUAAUCAGCUAACAGAAUCACCAGACUGGACUACAGUCACAAAUGGAUACAAGCUUGGGAUUUAUAUUUAGCUAU